rnacentral:rRNA from 1 species
UACGUAGGGGGCAAGCGUUGUCCGGAAUUAUUGGGCGUAAAGAGCGUGUAGGCGGUCCGGUAAGUCAGCUGUGAAAGUCAAGGGCUCAACCCUUGAAAGCCGGUUGAUACUGUCGGGCUAGAGUCCGGAAGAGGCGAGUGGAAUUCCCGGUGUAGCGGUGAAAUGCGCAGAUAUCGGGAGGAACACCUAUGGCGAAGGCAGCUCGCUGGGACGUUACUGACGCUGAGACGCGAAAGCGUGGGGAGCAAACAGG